rnacentral:guide_RNA from 1 species
UAAACCACAAUAUCAGAAAUAAGUGUAGAAAUAGUGAUAAUAU